rnacentral:rRNA from 1 species
GACGAACGCUGGCGGCGCGCUUAACACAUGCAAGUCGAACGGAAAGGCCUGCUUUCCCUUGUGGAUUGCGGGUACUCGAGUGGCGAACGGGUGAGUAACACGUGAGUGAUCUGCCCCCAACUUGGGUAUAAGCCUGGGAAACUGGGUCUAAUUCCCGAUAGGACUGCAGGGUGGUGCCUGUGGUGGAAAACGAUUUUCUAGUGGUUGGGGAUGAGCUCGCGGCCUAUCAGCUUGUUGGUGGGGUAAUGGCCUACCAAGGCGGCGACGGGUAGCCGGCCUGAGAGGGUGGACGGCCGCAUUGGGACUGAGAUACGGCCCAGACUCCUACGGGAGGCAGCAGUGGGGAGUAUUGGGCAAUGGGCGGAAGCCUGAUGCAGCGACGCCGCGUGGGGGGUGACGGCCUUCGGGUUGUAAACUCCUUUCGACCGCGAGGAAGCCACCUGGUUGGAAGGGUGGUGACGGUAGUGGUAGAAGAAGCACCGGCUAACUACGUG